UCACUUCAUUAAAGUGCUGAGAUGGUAA
rnacentral:piRNA from 1 species